GUCUUUUCGAGGUAGGAGUCGACUCCUGUGAGGUAUGGUGCUGGGUGCAGAUGCAGUGUGGCUCUGGAUAGCACCUUAUGGACAGUUGUGUCCCCAAGGAAGGAUGAGAAUAGCUACUGAAGUCCUAAAGAGCAAGCCUAACUCAAGCCAUUGGCACACAGGCAUUAGACAGAAAGCUGGAAGUUGAAAUGGUGGAGUCCAACUUGCCUGGACCAGCUUAAUGGUUCUGCUCCUGGUAACGUUUUUAUCCAUGGAUGACUUGCUUGGGUAAGGACAUGAAGACAGUUCCUGUCAUACCUUUUAAAGGUACAUGUUUUAUUGAUGUUAACGUUAAUUGAUUGAGCUACUGUUAGUGAUGAUUUUAAAAUUAAAGCAGAUGGGAAUCUCUCUGAGAAAGAAAAUGGAGAUUAAUCUUAAACUGAAACAGUAGUUGGGAAAUCUUUUAGAAAUCCACCUAUUACUACCUAUUGGUAAAGGAGAUUAAAUUUCUACAGGUAUGGAGAGUCGGCUUGACUACACUGUGUGGAGCAAGUUUUAAAGAAGCAAAGGUAUAGCAGUUCCAAGUAUUUUUUUUUUUUUUUUAGACAAGAGUCUAGCUCUUGCCCAGAAUGGAGUGCAGCGGCACUAUCAGUUCACUGCAACCUCUGCCUCCCAGGUUCAAGGAAUUCUCCUGCCUCAGCCUCUUGAGUAGCUGGGAUUACAGGCAUGUGACACCAUGCCUGGCUAAUUUUGUACAGCUAUGUUGUCCAGGCUGGUCUCGAACUCUUGACCUCAAGUGAUACUGCCCGCACUGACCUCCCAAAGUGCUGGGAUUACAGGCGUGAGCCACCAUGCCCCGCCUCAAGUCUGGUUUUUAAGUGUUGUAAAGCCGAUACAAUGAUGAUAACAUAGUUCAGCAGACUAACGCUGAUGAGCAAUAUUAAGUCUUUCGCUCCUAUCUGAUGUAUCUGGCGGUAACAUUCUAGUUUAUGCCCCGAAAAGGGGAAUAUAGCCAUUCUAUAAUGUUUGGAGAUUUUGGAUUACUCCUAAUUGUAUGCAAGUUGUCUUACUGUGUAUUGUCCCUUAAUUUCAGGACUCAGAAUUCAUGAUUGAAGAAAUGCAGGUUAGUUUAAACUUUGAAGGAAAUUUUUAAGGUGGCAAAAGGUUUUGGUGGCAUAUACACCUUAAUCUGUAGAUGGGAGUGAUUAGCUGUUUAAAAGUUAAAAUGUGACUGAGAAGGAAAUUGAGUAGGGCAAAUUUUAAAUGGGUAUUAUUUUUCAUCUUCAAACAGGCAGACCUGUUAUCCUAAACUAGGUGAGUCAGCUUUUGGUACAUGUGAUGAUUUUCAGUGUAACCAAUGAUGUAAUGAUUCUGCCAAAUGAAAUAUAAUGAUAUCACUGUAAAACCGUUCCAUUUUGAUUCUGAGGUUACUCUACUAACAAGCAUCACACAUUUGUAUUUUGCCCUGAUUAAUAUGUUGGCUUCGCUUUCAGGGUUUUUAAUGACCACAACAAGCAAGCAUGCAGCUUACUGCUUGAAAGGGUCUUGCCUCACCCAAGCUAGAGUGCAGUGGCCUUUGAAGCUUACUACAGCCUCAAACUUCUGGGCUCAAGUGAUCCUCAGCCUCCCAGUGGUCUUUGUAGACUGCCUGAUGGAGUCUCAUGGCACAAGAAGAUUAAAACAGUGUCUCCAAUUUUAAUAAAUUUUUGCAAUCCA
ensembl:lncRNA GAS5 growth arrest specific 5